rnacentral:lncRNA from 1 species
GCUUUUUGCCACAAACUUAUUAUUAGUUAGAUUACUACAACUUUGACUAAUUACAUAAUGGUCCUAAGACAUUUAAUAUUACAAUACAAUUGUGACCAAAAGAUUCUAACACUAAACCCAACAAUACAUUUUAAAUAAUGUUGAAAUCGUUAACACAAUAAUAUGUUAUUUUUUCAAAUCCAUUUAUUUUAUAAUUUUGUUU